CCACAGCAGGGCACUGUCCCCGUCCCUCGCAGGCGGUGCUGGCCGAUGACCCCGGGUCCCCGACGGAGGCUCUGAGGCUCCCCUGCCGCAGCCUCUCGCCUGCUGCAGCUGCGGCCACGCUGGGGGCUGUGCACGGAGCCCUGCGGCGCCGGCACUUCCAGCUGCAGGAGGCCCGGGAGGUGUCGGGGAGCCUGCGGCGGGAGCUGGGGGACAGCGAGAGCCGGCGGGCGGCCCUGGAGCAGCGGCUGGAGCAGCUCAGCGCCGAGGCUGGGGGCUGCCGGCGGGCGCAGGACGAGGCCGUGCGCGAGGCCGCCCGCCUGCGCACCGACAUCGAGCUCCUGCGCAGCGAGCGGGGCCGCGUGGAGCAGGCGCUGGCGGCGGAGCAGGCGCGGGCGGGGGUCCUGCAGCGCAGCGAGGCCGAGCUGCAGCGCCGCAGCCGGGGGCUGGAGGAGCAGCGGGACGAGGCCGCCCGUGCCGCCGAGGCUGCGCGCCAGCAGCUGGAGCACAGGUGGGGACCCCCCCGGUGCUGAAACACCCCCCCAUGGGGCUGCAGAAUAGUGCCUCACCCCUCCCGUGGGUGCUGCCCACCCCCCCAUGGGUGAUACCCCUGUGGGUCCUCCCCGUCCAACGGGUGCUGCCCCUCCCCAGUGGGUGCUCUCCCCCCAGUGGGUGCCCCCUCCCAAUUUGUGCCCCCCCGUGGGUGCCCGCAGCCAGCAGCAGCUGGAG
rnacentral:lncRNA from 1 species